rnacentral:rRNA from 1 species
AUGCGUGGCCUCCUCGAGGUCCACGCGAUUGGCAGGGACGCCGCGUCGACGAGCUCAUCGAAACUGAAGGCCGUUCCCGCAUUGGACAUGAUGAGGUACCAAAGGCUCAGCCCGGACUGCCUCCCGCUCGCCAACGGUGGCGGCAGCGGCGGCGUUGCACGCAAGCCGGCCUCGAGAUCCUUUAGAGACGACGAAGGACCGGCCGCCGCCACCGACGGUUCCCGACUGGCCUCGUACCUCGCCGCCUCCCAGGCGGACUCCAAGCCGCCGGUGCGGGCGCGCGCACCGCAGCCGCCGGCCGCGCGGAGCCCGGCGCGGGACCACGGCCAGCACCACCCAUCCGACUCCUCCGACACGGCUUCCCCAAGCUCCACCGGCGCGGGCUCCGGCCCGGUCGGCGGCGACGUGCUGCUACAGUGGGGACACAACAAGCGGUCCCGCUGCCGGCGCGACUCCUCCGCGGCGUCCUCGUCGGCGUCGCCGUCCUCGCAGCGUCGGCAGACCCUCGGCAACGGCAAGAUCCAGCGGCGCGCGUCGGCGCCGGCGCCGGCGGAGAAGUUGAUGCCCCCUCCUCCGGCCACGAUCACGCGGGGGUCCAACCUGAGGUCCUCGUCGUCCUUCCCACCCCGCGUCGCCGGAGGAGACGCCAACCACCAGCUUCCCCACCACGGCAGGUCCGUUGAGGAGCGAUCGGGCGGCGUGCACAAGCGGUCGUCGCCCGACAAGGCGCCGCACCACAAGCCCCCCGCCGCGGAGCAUCACAUGGAUUCCAAGAACGCCCACCACCACCACCACCACCACAGCAACAACCACGACUCGCAGCUGGUGGCCGCCGACAACGGCACGGGCGCCGGCGAGAAGCUGGGCGGGGAGCGGUUGGAGCUUCCCCGGAUCUACAUCUCGCUGUCCCGCAAGGAGAAGGAGGACGACUUCCUGGUGAUGAAGGGCACCAAGCUGCCCCAGAGGCCCAAGAAGCGGGCCAAGAACGUGGACAAGUCGCUCCAAUUCGUGUUUCCAGGGAUGUGGCUCUCGGAUUUGACCAAAGGCCGGUAUGAGGUGCGAGAGAAGAAAUGUGCCAAGAAGAGGCGAAGAGGGCUGAAGGGGAUGGAGAGCAUGGACAGCGACUCGGAGUGA